rnacentral:rRNA from 1 species
UGGGGAAUAUUGCACAAUGGGCGCAAGCCUGAUGCAGCCAUGCCGCGUGUAUGAAGAAGGCCUUCGGGUUGUAAAGUACUUUCAGCGGGGAGGAAGGUGUUGAGGUUAAUAACCUCAGCAAUUGACGUUACCCGCAGAAGAAGCACCGGCUAACUCCGUGCCAGCAGCCGCGGUAAUACGGAGGGUGCAAGCGUUAAUCGGAAUUACUGGGCGUAAAGCGCACGCAGGCGGUCUGUCAAGUCGGAUGUGAAAUCCCCGGGCUCAACCUGGGAACUGCAUUCGAAACUGGCAGGCUAGAGGCUUGUAGAGGGGGGUAGAAUUCCAGGUGUAGCGGUGAAAUGCGUAGAGAUCUGGAGGAAUACCGGUGGCGAAGGCGGCCCCCUGGACAAAGACUGACGCUCAGGUGCGAAAGCGUGGGGAGCAAACA